rnacentral:misc_RNA from 1 species
GAUGAAGAACGUAGCGAAAUGCGAUAAGUAAUGUGAAUUGCAGAAUUCAGUGAAUCAUCGAAUCUUUGAACGCACCUUGCGCCCUUUGGCCAUUCCGAAGGGCAUGCCUGUUUGAGUGUCAUGAACACCUCAACUCUUUAUGGUUUUCCAUGAUGAGCUUGGACUCUGGGGGUUUUGCUGGCUCACAGUCGGCUCCUCUAAAAUGAAUCAGCUUACCAGUGUUUGGUGGGUAUCAUGGGUGUGAUAACUAUCUACGCUUGUGGUUUUUCCACCAGGUAACCUUCAGCAGUGGAGGUUCGCUGGAGCUCAUAGAUGUCUCUCCUCAGUGAGGACAGCCCUUUGAAUGUUUGAUCUCAAAUCAGGUAGGACUACCCGCUGAACUUAAGCAUAUCAAUAAGCGGAGGA